CACCUUUGCCACUUGAUGAAUAUCGAAUAUGGUUCACAUUCGGACAGAUUUGACAUCCAAUAGAAGAACGAUCAUAACUUUCUUGUGACAGCUCGGAAUGGGUAUAGGAAGAUUGAUCUGGAAAGCUGGAUUAAAGAUCUUCACGAUGGUAUGUAGAUCGCCUUCUGAAGCUUCCUAGAUCGCCGGAAAACCGCUUCAAAAUUCAGC
rnacentral:lncRNA from 1 species